CCCUUAGAUGUUCUGGGCCGCGCGCGCGCUACACUGACGAAUGCAACGAGCUUAUAACCUUGGCCGAAAGGUCUGGGUAAUCUCCAAAUUUCGUCGUGAUGGGGAUGGAUUAUUGCAAUUAUUAAUCUUCAACGAGGAAUGCCUAGUAAGCGCAAGUCAUCAGCUUGCGUUGAUUACGUCCCUGCCCUUUGUACACACCGCCCGUCGCUCCUACCGAUUGAAUGGUCCGGUGAAGCGUUCGGACCGUGGCCUUUGGACGGUUCGCCGUCUGUUGGCUGCGGGAAGUUCGUUAAACCUUAUCAUUUAGAGGAAGGAGAAGUCGUAACA
rnacentral:rRNA from 1 species